rnacentral:rRNA from 1 species
CCUACGGGAGGCUGCAGUGGGGAAUAUUGCACAAUGGGGGAAACCCUGAUGCAGCGACGCCGCGUGAGUGAAGAAGUAAUUCGUUAUGUAAAGCUCUAUCAGCAGGGAAGAAAAUGACGGUACCUGAGUAAGAAGCCCCGGCUAACUACGUGCCAGCAGCCGCGGAAAUACGUAUGGGGCAAGCGUUAUCCGGAUUUACUGGGGGUAAAGGGAGCGUAGACGGGAGUGCAAGUCUGGAGGGAAAGGCGGGGGCUCAACCCCCGGAGUGCUCUGGAAACUGUACGGCUGGAGUGCAGGAGAGGUAUGUGGAAUGCCUAGUGUAGCGGUGAAAUGCGUAGAUAUUAGGAGGAACACCAGUGGCGAAGGCAGCUUACUGGACUGUAACUGACGUUGAGGCUCGAAAGCGUGGGGAGCGAACAGGAUUAGAUACCCCUGUAGUC